CCUACGGGUGGCAGCAGUGAGGAAUAUUGGUCAAUGGCCGAAAGGCUGAACCAGCCAUGCCGCGUGAAGGUCAGUGCCCUAUGGGCGUUAAACUUCUUUUGUGCGGGAACAAUAAUGGUCACGUUUGGCCAGACGAGGGUACCGUGCAAAUAAGCAUCGGCUAACUCCGUUCCAGCAGCCGCGGGAAUACGGGGGGUGCAAGCGUUAUCCGGAUUUAUAGGGGUUAAAGGGUGCGUAGGGUGUGAGGUCAGUCAGCGGUGAAAAUCCCCCGCUCAACGGGGUGAAGUGCCUUUGAUACUGCCGUUCUGGAAUGAGGAUGACGUGGGAGGAAUGUGUGGUGUAGCGGUGAAAUGCAUAGAUAUCACACAGAACACCGAUUGCGAAGGCAUCUUACG
rnacentral:rRNA from 1 species